rnacentral:rRNA from 1 species
UACGUAGGGUGCGAGCGUUAAUCGGAAUUACUGGGCGUAAAGCGUGCGCAGGCGGUUUUGUAAGCCAGAUGUGAAAUCCCCGGGCUUAACCUGGGAAUGGCAUUUGGGACUGCAAGGCUGGAGUGCGGGAGAGGAUAGUGGAAUUCCUGGUGUAGCGGUGAAAUGCGUAGAUAUCAGGAGGAACACCGGUGGUGUAGACGGCUAUCUGGACCGUAACUGACGCUGAGGCACGAAAGCGUGGGUAGCAAACAGG